UACGGAGGGUGCGAGCGUUAAUCGGAAUAACUGGGCGUAAAGGGCACGCAGGCGGUGACUUAAGUGAGGUGUGAAAGCCCCGGGCUUAACCUGGGAAUUGCAUUUCAUACUGGGUCGCUAGAGUACUUUAGGGAGGGGUAGAAUUCCACGUGUAGCGGUGAAAUGCGUAGAGAUGUGGAGGAAUACCGAAGGCGAAGGCAGCCCCUUGGGAAUGUACUGACGCUCAUGUGCGAGAGCGUGGGGAGCAAACAGGAUUAGAUACCUGGUAGUCAAGGGCGAAUUCG
rnacentral:rRNA from 1 species